GAUGAACGCUGGCGGCGUGCCUAAUGCAUGCAAGUCGAGCGAACAGACGAGGAGCUUGCUCCUCUGACGUUAGCGGCGGACGGGUGAGUAACACGUGGAUAACCUACCUAUAAGACUGGGAUAACUUCGGGAAACCGGAGCUAAUACCGGAUAAUAUAUUGAACCGCAUGGUUCAAUAGUGAAAGACGGUUUUGCUGUCACUUAUAGAUGGAUCCGCGCCGCAUUAGCUAGUUGGUAAGGUAACGGCUUACCAAGGCAACGAUGCGUAGCCGACCUGAGAGGGUGAUCGGCCACACUGGAACUGAGCCACGGUCCAGACUCCUACGGGAGGCAGCAGUAGGGAAUCUUCCGCAAUGGGCGAAAGCUUGACGGAGCAACGCCGCGUGAGUGAUGAAGGUCUUCGGAUCGUAAAACUCUGUUAUUAGGGAAGAACAAAUGUGUAAGUAACUAUGCACGUCUUGACGGUACCUAAUCAGAAAGCCACGGCUAACUACGUG
rnacentral:rRNA from 1 species